UGUUUCGGCUAGGGGGCCAUCCCGGCUUACCAACCCGAUGCAAACUGCGAAUACCGGAGAAUGUUAUCACGGGAGACACACGGCGGGUGCUAACGUCCGUCGUGAAGAGGGAAACAACCCAGACCGCCAGCUAAGGUCCCAAAGUCAUGGUUAAGUGGGAAACGAUGUGGGAAGGCCCAGACAGCCAGGAUGUUGGCUUAGAAGCAGCCAUCAUUUAAAGAAAGCGUAAUAGCUCACUGGUCGAGUCGGCCUGCGCGGAAGAUGUAACGGGGCUAAACCAUGCACCGAAGCUGCGGCAGCGACACUCAGGUGUUGUUGGGUAGGGGAGCGUUCUGUAAGCCUGCGAAGGUGGCCUGUGAGGGUUGCUGGAGGUAUCAGAAGUGCGAAUGCUGACAUAAGUAACGAUAAAGCGGGUGAAAAGCCCGCUCGCCGGAAGACCAAGGGUUCCUGUCCAACGUUAAUCGGGGCAGGGUGAGUCGACCCCUAAGGCGAGGCCGAAAGGCGUAGUCGAUGGGAAACGGGUUAAUAUUCCCGUACUUGGUGUUACUGCGAAGGGGGGACGGAGAAGGCUAUGUUGGCCGGGCGACGGUUGUCCCGGUUUAAGCGUGUAGGUGUGUGUUCCAGGUAAAUCCGGUUCACUUUAACACUGAGGCGUGA
rnacentral:rRNA from 2 species